rnacentral:rRNA from 1 species
GUGGGGAAUAUUGGACAAUGGGCGAAAGCCUGAUCCAGCCAUGCCGCGUGAGUGAUGAAGGCCCUAGGGUUGUAAAGCUCUCUCGGCGGGGACGAUAAUGACGGUACCCGCAGAAGAAGCCCCGGCUAACUUCGUGCCAGCAGCCGCGGUAAUACGAAGGGGGCUAGCGUUGCUCGGAAUCACUGGGCGUAAAGCGCACAUAGGCGGAUCUUUAAGUCAGGGGUGAAAUCCCAAGGCUCAACCUUGGAACUGCCUUUGAUACUGGGGAUCUCGAGUCCGGAAGAGGUUGGUGGAACUCCGAGUGUAGAGGUGAAAUUCGUAGAUAUUCGGAAGAACACCAGUGGCGAAGGCGGCCAACUGGUCCGGCACUGACGCUGAGGUGCGAAAGCGUGGGGAGCAAAC